rnacentral:rRNA from 1 species
CCUACGGGAGGCAGCAGUGGGGAAUAUUGCACAAUGGGCGCAAGCCUGAUGCAGCCAUGCCGCGUGUAUGAAGAAGACCUUCGGGUUGUAAAGUACUUUCAGCGGGGAGGAAGGCGAUAAGGUUAAUAACCUUGUCGAUUGACGUUACCCGCAGAAGAAGCACCGGCUAACUGCGCGCCAGCAGCCGCUGUAAUACGGAGGGUGCAAGCGUUAAUCGGAAUUACUGGGCGUAAAGCGCACGCAGGCGGUCUGUCAAGUCGGAUGUGAAAUCCCCGGGCUCAACCUGGGAACUGCAUUCGAAACUGGCAGGCCGGAGUCUUGUAGACGGGGGUAGAAUUCCAGGUGUAGCGGUGAAAUGCGUAGAGAUCUGGAGGAAUACCGGUGGCGAAGGCGGCCCCCUGGACAAAGACUGACGCUCAGGUGCGAAAGCGUGGGGAGCAAACAGGAUUAGAUACCCCGGUAGUC